AUUGCGCAUUUCUAUAUAAUAUAUCUAUUAUAAGAAUUGUCGAAUAAGCCGUUUUAAAAUCCUAAACUAAUGUUUAGCUUUGAUAUAUUUAUAAAAGACGACAUUACUGUUUGUCUAUCUUACAAUACAAAGCAGGUAGUUUCCAUUUAAACUCCGCACCUUUCACAGGUGUGGAGACAGUUUCCAAGAUGAAUUUAUCAAUAUAAAAAGGUUUAUUCUGUGUCUGCUCUGUUACUCUGCUACUCUCAGGUUUAUUUUGUGUCUACUCUACUGUUCUACUAAUCUAAGAAAAAAGUGAGAAUUUUAAAACCCUGAAAUCCGGAUGAAGAUUGACAUGGAAUCACAGGCCCAAAGUGAGAAAGUGAGAGAAAAGGCCUUUGCUCUGUGUAAAGAAUAUUUGCAGGUAUAAAGAUACUUUUAGAGUUAUUACAUGGGAACACUGAUUCACACAGCUACCCUUUAAACUUUUGUCUCAGCUAAAGUAACAGAGAUGCUAUUUUUUGUUAAAAAGUGGCUUGCGGAUUAUUUGUAGCAUGGGGAAAAAGAAAAUUAAAAGUAUUUAACUAUUUUUAAGUAUAGGAUAUCAACGUGAUACUCAGAUAAAGGUUUAAAGGAUACCUUUCUGAAUAUGUAAUAUGUAUGUUUAAGGACUUUGGAGUGUAAUCUAUACUAUUUUAUUCGACACAGCCCCUUUAAAUUCCCAUCUUUGCUAUUUUUGAGUUCAUUAUUUCUCCCAGAAAGUGUUCUUUAACAAAAAAAACUAUUUUCAAAGACAACGUAACGAUAAGAUACGAA